rnacentral:piRNA from 1 species
UCAGAUGUCCCUACUAACUUGAUGGCGAUG